rnacentral:tRNA from 1 species
AAAGAUUUAGUUUAAAUAUCAUAACAUUAAUUUGUCAUAUUAAAAUAAAUAAUUUAAUAAUUAUUAAUCUUU